rnacentral:rRNA from 1 species
UGGGGAAUUUUGGACAAUGGGGGCAACCCUGAUCCAGCCAUGCCGCGUGUCUGAAGAAGGCCUUCGGGUUGUAAAGGACUUUUGUCUGGGAGCAAAUGCUGGUGGCUAACAUCCACCGGAGCUGAGAGUACCGGAAGAAUAAGCACCGGCUAACUACGUGCCAGCAGCCGCGGUAAUACGUAGGGUGCAAGCGUUAAUCGGAAUUACUGGGCGUAAAGCGUGCGCAGGCGGUCAGACAAGCCAGAUGUGAAAGCCCCGAGCUCAACUUGGGAACUGCGUUUGGAACUGUUUGACUAGAGUGCGUCAGAGGGGGGUGGAAUUCCGCGUGUAGCAGUGAAAUGCGUAGAGAUGCGGAGGAACACCGAUGGCGAAGGCAGCCCCCUGGGAUGACACUGACGCU